ACCAAUACGACAUAUAAUACACAGUCAAAACAUAUACCAAUUUCACCUAUUACAUGAGAAGUUCCACACCAUAUUUGAAUUUUCAUACCAAAUUAUGAACUAGUACAUUAUUAACUAAGGCAUAUAUUCAUCACAUAAGUAGAGAACAUACCACUUGUGAUAAAUACUAAGAACAUAUACAAGAUACUCCUAUUACAUGCCACGUAUCCCAAAAUUAAACGUUUUCAAAAUCUACCAAAAAAAUCUGAAUAGUGUGAUAUUCGUGUUGAUCCAAUCACCUGAUUCCGCAAAAUGUUAUCUACAAG
rnacentral:lncRNA from 1 species